GAUGAACGCUGGCGGCGUGCUUAACACAUGCAAGUCGAACGGAAGAUAUACGGCGACGAGAUUUCGGUCGAGUCUAGUGUAUCUUUAGUGGCGGACGGGUGAGUAACGCGUGGGUAACCUGCCUUACACAGGGGGAUAACACUUAGAAAUAGGUGCUAAUACCGCAUAAGCGCACAGUCCCGCAUGGGACAGUGUGAAAAACUGAGGUGGUGUAAGAUGGACCCGCGUCUGAUUAGCUAGUUGGUGGGGUAACGGCCCACCAAGGCGACGAUCAGUAGCCGGCCUGAGAGGGUGGACGGCCACAUUGGGACUGAGACACGGCCCAA
rnacentral:rRNA from 1 species